rnacentral:rRNA from 1 species
CUACGGGUGGCACCAGUGAGGAAUAUUGCACAAUGGGGGGAACCCCGAUGCAGCAACGCCGCGUGGAGGAUGACGCAUUUCGGUGUGUAAACUCCUUUUAUAUGUCGAGAAAAUGACGGUAGCAUAUGAAUAAGCACCGGCUAACUCCGUGCCAGCAGCCGCGGUAAUACGGAGGGUGCAAGCGUUACUCGGAAUCACUGGGCGUAAAGGACGCGUAGGCGGGUUGGAAAGUCAGGUGUGAAAUCCUACAGCUUAACUGUAGAACUGCACUUGAAACUUCUAAUCUAGAGUAUGGGAGGGGGAGAUGGAAUUAGUGGUGUAGGGGUAAAAUCCGUAGAUAUCACUAGGAAUACCUAAAGCGAAGGCGAUCUCCUGGAACAUUACUGACGCUAAGGCGUGAAAGCGUGGGGAGCAAACAGGAUUAGAUACCCCCGUAGUC